UGUGAGGAGAUAAGUGACAUAAACUGGCAUGUUCUGAAAGAAUCACUCUGGAUGCUGUGUGGAGAAAACACUGAAAAGAAUUCUAGAGUGAAAGUUUCAUGAAUAUAAGAAGCAAGACAAGGAAGUGGCUUAUGCUUAAGGCCUUAAAGGCAACCACUGUGACAAUCCAGCCAUUCUCUGGAGAAUUCAGCAGAAAGCCAGUUGGAAGGUUUGAAAUGGAAAUUACAAGCGCAAUAUUACAGAAGUGUGGAUUUUAGUUACAAUGUCUCUAUGAGAAAGUCUAAAAGUUAAACAUAAGCAAAACAACAAAAACAUCUAAAUACCAGACACUAUCCUCAGAAAUUAGAUUUGAAAAAUGAGCUUCAUUUUCGAAGAACAUAUUUCUUUAUAGGGGGAGAAUAAUUGACUCCAUUCAAGUGUUCGCUCCUGUUUCAAUCAACUAUGGCUGAAGAGUGAGGAGACAUUUGGAAUAAAUAUGGCUUCUGGGGGCCCAUUCCUAUGGAUCAGCAGCUGGCUUCUGGAGGCCCAUUCCUGUGAAUCGUCGAUCUCAUAGAAGAUAAUAUUGUUAGAAGGCUUACCUCAUUGAUGCUGAACAUCCUAAAAAGCUUCUGCUGCUUUGAGUCACUGAAAAAGACCAAGAAACAUGAAUUUAAAAAAAAAUUUCAAAUGUUAUAAAAUAAAUAAUAUGAACUCAUUAUACCUACAAUGAAUAAUUUAAAUUCUUCUUUGGUAGUCCAGGUAAAUAACUUCUCAAAUAGAUUUUUUUAAGCAUCUGUAUAAGUUCAAGAUGUACAUCACUUCAUGUAGAAUAACAUCUCCUAAAAAGAACUGAAAUGCCUCAGUAUACAACCAGCUGACCUGGCUAUCAAACACUUAUUUAGCACAUAUUACAUGAUGGACACUUUGAUGUAGAUACGGACCUUGGGUUGUGUCCUCAAGGAUCAUACAGUGGGUUGAGGAAAUAGGAUAUGCUAUCCAUAGGAAAGUAAAUAAUAAUAUGACAGCUUAUUUUCAAUGAGAAGUGAAUAGUACAAAGAAUAGGAGUUGCCAGAUUUCAAAAGGAAAGAGCUAUCACACAGAGGCGGAACAAUUAGAAAUUUUUCAUGAAGGAAGUGUUCUUUGUGCUGGACCUUUGAGAAAGUAUAGAAUGUAGAUUAGCAAAAAGGCAUGGAAAAGGCAUGAUAGGUAGGAGAGGCAAGUUAGGCAAAGGUCCAUUAGAAUUGCUCAAGAUAUAAUAGACCAACUUGGCCUGAAAAAGGCCUGGAAGUAUCCUCUUUUGUGCUCUGUGAGAAGUUUGCCACCAUGUAAAAAGUCUAACUACCCUAAGGCAACCAUGCUCUGAGAAGCCCAACCUAUCCAGGUGGAGAGGUCCUGUAGAGAAUUGAGGCCACUGGCCCUGAGCUCCCAGUUGAAAUAGACAAUAUCAACAUGUCAGCAGGGUGAAUGAGACCAUCUUGGAAGUGGGUCCUCCAAGAGUAGUUGAGCCAUCCUGCCUAAAUUUCAGCAUUUUGAGCAAAUAAAUGAUUUAUACCAUUUUAAAUCACUAUAUUUUUGAGUGAAUCACUGACUUUUUUCUCAAUUAAGCAUAGGUUUAGAAACUAUGAAAACCCUAGAAGAAAACCUAGGCAAUGCCAUUCAGGACAUAGGCACGGACAAAGAUUUCAUGACGAAGACGCCAAAAACAACUGCAACAAAAGCAAAAAUUGACAGAUGGGAUCUCAUUAAACUAAAGAGCUUCCAUACAGCAAAAGAAGCUACCAUGAGAGUGAACAGACAACCUAUAGAAAGGGAGAAAAAUUUUGCAAUCUGUUCAUCUGACAAAGGUCUAAUAUCCAGCAUCUACAAGGAACUUAAAUAAAUUUACAAGAAAAAAACAAA
ensembl:lncRNA HRAT17 heart tissue-associated transcript 17